GGCAUUAAAGGACGGCCCAGGUUUGUUUCAACUGCACGGCCUCCACGAGCCACGGCGACGGCGACGGUCUCCGGCUCUCCGCCGUCCUCUCCCGUCGCGCCUCCGAUGCUACCCUGCCAAUUUGUCCCAGCAGUUUUACCCACAUCAGAUCAGAUGAUCGAAUUCAGAGGGGUGGCGGCAUUCGCGCCGCCCAGGGCAGCAUUAGCGCACCUUGGAUUGCGGGGCUUGCCAGUUCGUCGCCUCCUCCGCCGUCUUCCUCUCGCGGCUCCAGCCCCAGCUUGUAGGGUUUAUACACGCACCUCGGUAACUGGAGCGCAGAGACGGAUAUGCGCAGACCCAGUCCGCAUAUGUGUCGAGACUCGAGAGAAAAUCAAUAUCAAACAGAGUCCAAACGCAGCGAAAUUUUUUGUAGAUUUUUU